rfam:Aspergillus zonatus CBS 506.65 unplaced genomic scaffold ASPZOscaffold_15, whole genome shotgun sequence.
GCACUAGUGGUGUAAUGGUUAUCAUCGUUGCCUUCCAAGCAAUGGAUCCGCGUUCGAUUCGCGGCUAGUGCA